UUUUUUUUUUCCUUGCGUGUAUUGUUGCGGAAAAAAAAGGUGCAGCCAAGCAAAUCCUAGUUCGUGUCCCAAACGGCGGUGACAGUGUGCAGCACAACGCAUGCGAUUAGCAAUGGCGAACAGCAAGAGGUUUCAAUUGAAACUACCACUAUCAUCAUGUCUUUUUCUCCUUCUCCUCCUCACGACUCAAAUGCGUUGCAAAGCUGAUGUUAUUACCCUAACAGAAGAUACUUUUUCCGACAAGAUUAAGGAGAAAGAUACUGCUUGGUUCGUGAAAUUCUGUGUUCCUUGGUGUAAGCACUGCAAGAAUUUAGGAUCAACGUGGGAAGACUUGGGGAAGGCCAUGGAAGGGGAAGAUGAGAUAGAAGUUGGACAAGUUGACUGCAGUACUAGUAAACCCGUUUGCGCCGAAGUUGAUAUUCAUUCAUAUCCAACGUUCAAGCUCUUCUACAACGGUGAAGAAGUUGCAAAAUAUCAGGGAACAUGGCUAUCCUUUGCACUCUAUUUUGCUUGAAGAAGGAACACAGAAGAUCUAGAGGGAAACGAGAUGUAGAGUCGCUCAGAGCAUUUGUUUUGGAAGAAACGGAGAAAGCAGCAGCAAAAGCAGAGGAUGAUGUUGACAGAGGAGAACUAUAACUUUUAUAGGAGCUGGUAUGGUAUGACACCAGCAGAAUCAGUGUGCAAAAUGUAGCAUGUUGAGAAUUUUGAACCUGGUCAUAUGGUUGAUCCCAUGGCCAUAUGGCUACUACAGCCGUAGCGAUCAUGAGUAAAUUUCUCAACUUAGAGUAAUAUUAUUUGUGUUUAUGAGCCCUAGUAGUAGUCUUCAGCUUUGAGAUCUUUGCUAGCCAUUCAUUCUUUCUUCCACCUUGAACAGUAGAUCGAUCAAUAUGUAAAGAAAGUACAUGUAACGUGAGACAAAUGAACACAGUACUGAACUGAGCGACUGUCAUGCUGCAAACUUUCUCUUUAUGAGUGCACUAUGCUCUUAACGUCUUAUGGGUGCAAAUUUUGCCUUGUUUAUGGAAAAACCUUUGUUUA